AUGCUUCGACAAUUCCUCGACCUAUGGCAGCGUGUGGAACGGCUCAACAUCCAACCGACAUCAAGCGACACCGUCUACUGGGCUUGGGAGAAGGACGACAAGUUUUCGGCGAGAUCGGUUUACGCGGCCAAGUUCGCCGACCUCCAAGUCACUCCUACGGCUGAUUUCACCUGGAAGUCUAAGGCGCCGCUACGCAAGCGUUUCUUCGUUUGGUUGGCCAUCAAGGACAGGUGCUGGACCUCAGAUAGAUUAGCACGGCGGGGCCUCCCACACCAAGCCUCAUGUCCCCUCUGUAGCCAGCACGACGAAACAAUGACACACAUCAUGAUCGGAUGUGUUUUUGCUCGGGAGGUUUGGACAAAGGUUUGCCUUGCCCCGGGCCAGCCAGACCGGGCACCAACGACGAACGAGACGCUGCCUGACUGGUGCCUUCGACAAGAGGACUAUGGGAAACACAAGAAACUCGCAAGGCCAAUUUGCAUUCUCGUCCUCUAG
rnacentral:rRNA from 1 species